rnacentral:lncRNA from 1 species
AUAUUAUUGCCAUUAUUCUUUGUCUAAUAUUUGUUUAGUACCUACAGUUCUGUUCUGACAAACAAGAACAUAUAGGCAGUCCAUUUUCUGAAGUGCUUCAGCUUUAAAAUCCAGGCACACUGAAGAGGGAUGCACUGGGAACUCCAGAAGUAAGGAUGGCUUCUGGUUAAGAGGAUUGCUUGCAGAGUUACCCAGAUGUUUGGAAUGAAAAAAGAUAAAUCAAAAAAUCAACGAAAGAGGAAAGAUCUUAUGACUGACGCAAGGGAUUGGAUUCAGAAAAUCGGAUUUCAGUUUCUGAUUCUGUCACAAGCUUCCUGUGUGACCUUAGUUAUGCGAAUUCUGAACAACAUAAUUGUUCAUGCAUACAAUCUGAGAAACGAAAUGGGCCAGGAGAAAAAUACCAGACUAUAUUAUUUUGUAUUCUAUAGGAAAUGUAAAACAUAUAGGAUAAAAUGAACUUUAGCAAUAUGACAACGGAUACUGAACUGGGAUCAUGAAAACAGGUUAGUAUGGAAAAAAUAUUUCAGGUUUACUAACAUGAAAGCAUAAAAAUAAAUUAUCCAGAAUUAUUUUGAAUUAAGAUAUU